GUUUCCAUACAAACAGCUCAUGCCACCCUUUUGUCCCCCGAAACUGUUUCGUUACCUGCCUUAUUGUUACUUACUUACUUACUUACUUACUUACUUAUUUAUUAUAACACCCCUGCGUCUACUACUUCUUCUCCUUGUCCUCUCCUACCUUCACCCAUGUUUUCUGGACUUAUACUGUGCACACGGAACUGUUACCUGCGGACCUACACCAUUCCACUCCAGACUACCUCUCACCAGCCAGAUUUCCAUCUGAGGCAAAGCAAUGUAGGAACAUCGUUUGGGUUAUUAACCCCCCACCCCCCACCCCCAAGCCCUCUACCUGUUUUCUUCAGAAAUGGCCUGAUUAAAAUCAACUGCCACCGUCAAUUAUGAUGAAUUAUGCAGACAUUGGUGAGAUGUGUACACAUACACAUGUACUGCCGUGGUUUAUCUCUGUCAACAGUUUGGUGCAAAGUUGUUUGAAGACGCAGCAGAGAGGUUGCUGCAACAAAUUAUCAUUCAUCUCCCUGCAUAACCAGCCAGUGAGCGAUCUUCUUGCUCCGCAGCUCAGCCCAGCAACAACCCUGAACUUACCCUCCUGCUGUCAGCACCUGUCUCCCUCUCCUCCUAUAUCUAUUCAGUAUUGUUUGUCUACGUACUAGCACUCGUUACCUUGUAUAGCACUGGAAAUAAAUG